ACGUGACAGUGAUUCAUAAAACAUCACAUGAUUUGUGUAUUAGUAAGAAGACAAUAUGUAUUUGUUUUAACAUAAAACUAAUAGAAAAUCACCAUUAAAGAGCUAUCAUGGGGAAAGGUCUAGGAGGAGGAGCAAAAGGUUGCCUGUCAGCUAUCAUAUGGCUUCUUCUUUUAUGGUUUGUGGCAUGGCCUAUAGCAUUUUUACUUGCCUGGGUAUACAUAUUCCUAUUGCCAUUUGGAGCAUGCGUAGACGCUAUUAGAUCGAUAAAUGAACAAUUGGUGCGCAUAUUACAACUUCCAUUGACUUGUGCUCAGAAUAUGAUAGACAUGAAACCUAUUUGUUAGUGCAGUAUUCCUCUGAUAGUUGCUAAAUUGAAUUAAAACAUCACUUUUGUAAUUCUCGUGUAAAUCUUCUGUUUUAAUUUUAUAUUCAUAUUUGUUUUAAGUCUUAUUUAUAUAUGGUAUAUUGUUAUAUUUUUAUUCAUUAUAAUUCAAAAAUUAUA